rnacentral:misc_RNA from 1 species
UCUCCGUAGGUGAACCUGCGGAGGGAUCAUUACAGAGUUCAUGCCCUACCGGGUAGAUCUCCCACCCUAUGUUAUUAUUACUUUGUUGCUUUGGCGGGCCGUUAGGCUCCGGCCCGACUACCGGCCCCGGCUGGUAAGCGCCCGCCAGAGGACCCAAAACCCUGAAUAUUAGUGUUGUCUGGGUACUAUAUAAUAGUUAAAACUUCCAACAACGGAUCUCUUGGUUCUG